CCUACGGGUGGCUGCAGUGAGGGAUAUUGCACAAUGGGCGCAAGCCUGAUGCAGCGACGCCGCGUGGGUGAUGACGGUUUUCGGACUGUAAAACCCUUUUCCAGGUGACGAGCAAGGACGGUAGCCUGGGAAUAAGUGUCGGCUAACUACGUGCCAGCAGCCGCGGUAAAACGUAGGACACGAGCGUUAUCCGGAGUUACUGGGCGUAAAGGGCGGGUAGGCGGUGCGAUAAGACUGGUGUGAAAGCCUUCGGCUUAACCGAGGGAGGACACUGG
rnacentral:rRNA from 1 species